CCUUUGACCCACUACCGUCAGGAAGGAGGUACAGGAGCAUCAGGACUAGGACUGUCAGACUGGGGAACAGCUUCUUCCCUCAGGCUGUGAGACUAAUGAAUACCCUGCCACCGUCGAGGCCUUGUCACUAGGACGAGACUGCUGCGUGUGAAAAUCCCAGAUGAUCAGGAGUUUCCAAGAAUCCCCAUUAAUAGAAAAGCCUAUAAAAAGUAAUGGAUACAGGCCAGCUCAUCACGGUUGAAGCCCUCCCCGCCAUUGAGCACAGUUACAAGGAAUGCUGUUGCAGGAAAGCAGCAACUAUCAUCAGGAAACUCCACCAUCCAGGACAUGCUCUCUUUACACUGUUGCCAUCAGGAAGGACGUACAGGAGCCUCAAGACCAACACCACGAGGAUCAGGAACAGUUAUUACUCCUCAACCAUCAGGCUCUUGAACCAAAGACGCUUCCUGAGUUACAGUGGAUCUCCAGCAUUUGUAUCCUGAUCUGCACAGUACUCAGUGACUAUUCAGUUGCAGAGAUUAUUCAGAAGGAUGAAUUGGGCCAAAGGACCUUUCUGAUCCUAUACAACCCCCUCAAAGUUCAAAGUAAAUUUCUUAUCAAACUAUAGAUAUGUUACCAUAAACUAUCUUGAGAUCUAUUUCCUUGCAGGCAUUUACAGGGAAAAAGGAAAUUCAAUGGAAUUUCACAAGAAAACUAUAUCCAAACAAACACUGAGAAAUAAUCUUCUGGUCAAGAUGACACCCAAGUUGAGGUCUCCAUUGAGACCGUGGCUCACACCUAGUCGUGAUUUUAAGUUCGUAGGGAUUGUUUUGGGGUCAGGUUAGGUUUUGUGACAUGGAUGUGGAGGAGUUAAAGGUCAGGCGUGCAUUCAAUGUUUAGUAAUAUGGACAGGUGGUGAAGGACAUCCAGUAUCUAGGCCUCUGCUCCAGCAACAUGGAUGUGAAAAAGAAGGAUAUCUGGAAUUUAAUCCUCUGCUCCACACUCUAAAGCCAGUGAUAUGGACGGGUGAUGAAGAGCAUCUGUGGAUGUCGAGGUGCCCUGUGAUGUCCAUGUGAGCAGGAGGGUCGAGGAAGCACAAGGGCUGAUGAGUCGGCGUGCCCGGAGUUCAGCGUCUCAUCAUCAGCUAGUCUGGGGGGCGAUACCGAAGAGCAAAGCCAGACUGUUGAUCAGAAGUCUGAAGCAUGGAGACUCGAGGCCUGCCUGGAGCUGUAGGACUAUCCUGUGUGUGUGUGAGUGGGAUGAGCAGGGCUUGUUCUGCUGCUGUUGUUCUGUCACUCGUUGUGUUCUGUGUCGUUCUGCUGAGAACGUCCAGAAUGUGCAGCAACACUUGUGGGCUGCCCCCGGCAGGUCCUUAGGUUGUGUUGGUGAUUAACAUAAAUGACGUAAUUGACUCUAUGUUUUGAUAUAAUGUGAUAAGUAACUCUGAAUCUGAACCAAUAUACAAAAGAAGACAAGAAAAUGGAAGAAAAAAGUGAUUGCACUCCAACCCCAUGACUCAAUGACUGUAGACUGUGUGCAUUACCAAGUUCCUGGAGCUCCAGCUGCAGAUUCUAUCUGUAGUUAAAGCAUGACCAGUUGAUAUAAUUACUCAACAGAGAAUGAGAAGUUUGGAGAUUAAAAAUAUCUGCACUUAACCCGUCUCGUGAAGCAAUUCAUGGGAACAAAGAUACGAACUGCAGGAUGUCGAAGUUUGAUUUCACUAAAUUAGAAAGCUGCUAGAGAGUCUAAUCAUUUAAGACAAUUAAUUAAUGUUCCACCCACUGAGACAGAAUUGUAUGGUAAAUUUUAGUGUAGGCAGCAUCUGAUACUGCAAUUAUAAUCUGCAUAUUGGGAGAUAAAGUGUAAGGAAUGUUUUUCAUUUAAAUGCCAACAUGUUGGUCUUUUCACAUUUUCUUUUCAUUUCUCCCCAUACAUUUUUACUCUCAUCAUAGAGUCAAAGAGUCUUAGAAUACUAUAGCACAGAAACAGCCCCUACAGCUCAUCUGUGCUGAACUAUUGGUUAUAUCACCUGCGUGCUGCAGGUAACUGUUUUUAUUUUUUAAAAUCUCUUUUUUCCCCACAGUGCAGGUCCAAAACAUUUUUUUUCCAGGUGAAGCAAUGAUUCCCUUGAGUUUCUUGCCCUUUUACAUGUUCUAUCAUCUGCAGCUUGUGAUAUUGUCUGGUUCACAAUGGUGAAACCAAAUGCUGAUUGGUAAAUUGGUAAGUUGGUUUAUUCAAAGUCCAAAGUAAAUUUGUCAUCAAAGUACAUAUAUGUCACCAUAUACAACCUUGAGAUUCAUUUUCUUGUAGGUGUUCACAGUAGAUACAAGAAAACACAAGAAAAUCAAUAAGAAACAAAAAUGGACAAACAAUCAAGAUGCAAAAGAAGACAAACUGCAAAUACAAAAAUAAACAAAUAAUAAUAAUUAAUAAAUAAGAAAUCAUAUUGAGAAGAUGUGUUGUAAAGUCUUUGAAAGUGAGUCCAUAGAUUGUGGAAUCAGGUCAAUGCUGAGGUGAGUGUGGUAUCUACUGUGGUUCAGGAGCCACAAGAUUUCCAUCAUCACUCGUGUUUACAGAAAAGGGACAGAUAAACAAUGAAUUUAUGAACAUAGACCACACAGCACAAUACAGGUCCUUUCAACCCACAAUGUUGUGUUGACUUUUUAAGAUCAAUCAAACCCCUCUCUUCUACUGGGUCGUCCAUUUUGCUAUCACCAUGUGCUUAUCUAAGAGUUUCUCUAAUGCCCCUAGUGUAUUUGCC